GCAGCGUGACCUCAAGGCCACCCUGACGUGACCUGUGACAUCACUGGAUUUGCAGAUGGAAGUGAUUAUGUAUUCAUCAGGAAGAAAAAGAACCACAAGCCCCAGGGACAAGUCCAUGGAGUUUGGAGAGGGGUCAAAUCACUGCCUCUUUCACAAUGGAUGUGGUCCACUGUAAUUAACCUGCCACCAAGUGGCUGCCUGAUCGCUUUGAAGAAGAGCGCCAUAUUGAGGACUCAGUAUUGGUUUCUACUGCUGGCCAUAGCCAGGUUGUUCAUGGUAAGCAAGCUUCCAUGGUGCUGGAGAAAGUGUAUGGCUGAGAAGAGAACAGUGGACACUGGAGGGGGGGACUGACAAUGUGCCAGGACCUAAUGUUGCUACAGUUGGAUGGACCAAGGGGACCUGGAAGGACAGGGCUGCAGGAGGCUGGGCUGGGUCCUGGCCGGAAUCCUCGUGGCCGUGGACUGGAGGUGUGCACCCUUGCCUGGCAGAUCCUCAGUGUUCUCAUCAGCAGAGGGAACAGUGACAGCACCUACCUUGCUUGGAUGAUUCAGAGAAGGAUGUUAUGUCUGGCUGGAGCCACAGCAGCCAUUUCAUGACCAUGAAGCUACAGACCCAAGGACAAGGAUCCACAUAUACUAAGGAAGGCAGAGCAGAAGGAACCUGAGUCCGGUGUGGCAUCAUGAACAGCUGAACCAGGACCAGCCGUCACUCACAUCUGGACCUCUUUUCAGGUGAGAAAAAUAAGCCUCUGUUUUUUCAUGUCACUCUUGGGCAGAAUCUCUGUUACUUGCAGUUAAACACAGUUAGUUACUGAUACAGACAGACCUGGACUCAAGUGCCUUCUCUGACACCGACUAGCUUGGUGACCUUGUGUAAAGCAGUUAACCUGUCCAACCUUCUCAAGUUUCUCAAAAUGCAAUUUACUCAUCUGUUAGGAUGGAGUUGAUGGUCCUUAGGGGCGGAGCUGGGGCUGCCUUGUUCAGUGCAGGGCCUGGUACACCAGGAAAUGUCACUAAAUGUAAUAAGAGCUCAUCAUAUGCAGACAUCCAUCUAAGCAGUUUGCACAAAUUGUCUCCCUCAAUUCUUACCACAUUCCUGUAAGAAAAGUGCUAAUAGUAACACACCUUGUUUUGGCAAAUGAGAAAACUGAGGCACAGAGAGGCUGAGUCACUUGCCUUGGGACAAUCAGCUGGCAAAUGGCAGAGAUGAGACAUGAACCCGGGCAGUCAGAAUGCCAGAGCUCACUCUUAACCAUCAUGCUGUGCUGGCCUGGCAUACAGUAGGUGCUCAAUAAAUGCCUUCUGACCACCUGAAUGAACCAUUGAGAGAGGUGCUAGGGACACAUGGGCUUGUAAUGCAGUUCCUUCCAUCACUGUUUCAGUUUGUGAGGGGCCCCUGAGGAGACCCUGGGUCCAGUGGGCAGUGGGCAGAGCCCUGAGCCCACUCCUUCCUCCCCCUCCCCCACCCACAAACAUCCCCACCCCUCCCCACACCCCCCAGGGCUGCCUCUUCCCUGGCUUUCAAGGCCUUAGGUGAGUUGCUGGCCCACCUCAGUCCCCAGACACCCCCUUGAUUCCCUCUGUGAUUGAGACAACACAUCUGCUCUCAUGCUAACUUUUAUUUCUUAUUGAUUUUUUCUCUGCCCUGUCUCAGCAAUGUCCAUUUUUAUCUCCUUAAAGAAGUGAAAGCCAUUCUGUGGGAGAAGCAGAGUGUAGAAUUCUAGGACCACAAACAAGGGCCAUUGCCCUUGAUGGGGCAGGCAAAAGGGCCCACCCAUCACCCUGGCCACACGUGCUAGGCUGAAGGAGCCAGAGGAGGGGACUGCCAUCCAGUUUCCCACUGAGGGGGCGGGAGGGAGCUGACUUCUGGGAAGCCACCCGGUGAAGUCCCAGGUCUGGGUCUGGGAUUGGGGUGUCAUCUAGUGUGAUGGAGGAGAAGUUUCUGCAGGUGACAGCAGGGGUAUGUCUGAAUGGAGGUCAGGUCCAGGGAGGAUGGGGGAUGGGAGCCUCGGCAGGGGUCAGAUGGGGCAGGUGGUUACAGCAAAGAAAACAGGAGGUGAAGCUGGAGGCAGAGGCUCUGAACUGCACUCACUGAGCCUCGUGCCCCACUCACCUUCCCUCCCCAUCCCUCAGGAAUGUGUCCCGGGAUGGGUCAGGCAGGGCGCACUGGGCUGUGAACCCACCAUCUGGGUCCUCAUCCCCAACACUCCUCUUGCCGUGGGGCUGUUGGCUGGGUGACCUCUGUGCACCCCCAGAGGGAUGUCCUGGGGGGCCCGUCCUAGGGGAGAGAGUGCCAUGCUGAAGUGUGGAGAUCUGGGCCCACCACCUCUUAAUAGGGACGCUGGGCAAGUCCUCACCUCCUUGAACUAGGUUCCUCUUCUGCAAUGGGGGAGUAACAGUACCUGCCUCUGAGAGUGUUGGGGAGGGUGGGUCAUGAGGUCUUAUCACAGAGCACCUCAUUGCACAAGACCCGGGCAACAAGGGCUCAGUGGGGGGAGCUGUGAUGAUGCUGAUGGUGACAGAUGAUUAUGAUAUUGCUGGUGAUGAUGCUUGUGAUGCUGAUGGUAACAAUAAACCUGAUGGUGGAGAAUAGGAUGAUGAUGACAAUGACAACAGCAGUGAUGAUGAUGGCAUUGGUGAAAAUGAUGAUGCUGGUGGCACUGCUGAGGAUGCUGGCAGUAGUGAUAAAUGAUGACUGUGGUAACCACGGUGGUGGCAAUGAUGAUGGUACUGAUGACAAUGGUGGCAGUGGAGAUGGCAAUGAUAAGGACGAUGACCAGGAAAAUAUCGGCAGUGAUGGUGACAAUGACGGAGGUGUCGGUAAUGGGGGGGAGGAUGCAGGCAAAAAACCAUGAGUGACAUGUGACCCUCUAGCCCUAAUUAUGCCUCCUCAUGAUGUCACGAUCCCCUAAUCUGGAGCCCUGAUCCCAACUGCAGUGCCCCAAAGUUUCGUGUUGUAUCAGGUCAUGACCCUCAUAGACCAUCAUUUCCACUACCGCAGGGACAGACUCUGGUCCAUUCACAGCUCUCUCUGCAGCACCCAGCUCGGUGCCUGGCACAUGACAGGUGCACACUGAGCAUCUGUCCAAUGGCUGAAGGAGAAGGCAGAGAAGCAGGAACCACCCCUCGUGGUCCCCAGCCCAGCAGAUCUGCAGGCUGCUCUUUCACUGCCUCUUAGAAACCAGAACUCAGGAGUCUCCUUCCCAGGAUUUCGCCUUCCAGCACCCCCACAUGCCUUUGCUUAUGGCAGUUCAUGUUCCAGGACUGUCAACUCAUGGUGACAUUGACUUUUUCCAGUGAAGAGGCACUACUUUCCCAGCUUCCUAUCACGCAAAGUAAUGGGAGGAGAUCAAGGGGUUUUGAUGGACGUCAAGGGAUGGCCAGCGUGCACUCUCACUGGGUGCCCUCUCGGAGCUCUCAGAGACCAGACUGCCACCUCCAGUCUUCUGGGUGACUGGGCUUGUCAGGAUGUGGCUAUAGACAUUCCCACUGUGGCGCAGUGGAAACAAAUCAGACUAGUAUCCAUGAGGAUGAGGGUUUGAUCCCCAGCCUCGUGCAGUGGUUUGGGGUCCAGCGUUGCCGUGAGCUGUGGUGUAGGUUGCAUAUGCGGCUCAGAUCCCACAUUUCUGUGGCUGUGGUAUAGGCUGGCAGCUGCAGCUCCAGUUCAACCCCUAGCCUAGGAACUUCCAUAUGCCAUGGGUGCAGCCCUAAAAAAAAAAAAAAAAAAAAAAAAGGAAGGUGGCUAUAGGGUGGUAGGGCUGGAAGCCUAUCCCACUCUGGGCCUCCGACCCGUCCAACCUCUCCAGGAUGGUUUGCAUCCUAAGUGACCCCAGCCAGGCUCUCUGCACUUGAUCCCCAAUACAGAGUCAAACACUGCAGCCGAGGAUCAGGAACACUCAGGUUAGUGGAGGCCUCAGUCUCUCUGCAGGGAUGGCCUUUCUCCCCAGCCUGCAGUCUCCGGGCAGCCACAAAAACCAACAUUCCAGUUGCAGGCCGGGAACAGCAGGAAUUCUUGCUCUGCUGGACGCCAGAGUGACCUAAGGGUUAACUUCCUCUGUUAUAACCCACGGUUGUAAGUUAGGGUGAGAAGAAGCCCACGGUGCUGUGUUACUGGCUCCCAGCUGAGGGAGGAAGGAGGCUGCCUUGCAAGGGCGGCUUAAGCACAAGGUGGAGACAGGCAGGCUUCUCUGAAUUCACUAAUGAGGGAGUGCAAGUCCAGAGAGGUGAAGUGACUUGCCUGGUGUCACACAGCACACUGACAGCAGAGUCAGGAUGGGAACUCAGCUCUGUCAACCCCGUGCUCUUUCCAGAACACAGCACUGCCCCCCAGUAUCAGCACUCCUGGCAGAGGUAGGGGGUGAGGCCAGAAUGGGAUUCACUGGAUGGGGGUGGAUUGUGAAAGGGGAGACAGAGAAGGUCCAGACACAUGCACCCCAUGAGGACAGGGCCUGGGUUCCCAGUUUUCUGCUGCAUUCACAGGACAUGGCACACAACAGGGCUCCAUAAAUAUUCCCAGCAUCAGGCCCAGGCUGUCCUGCUGGGCAGCUGGAGCUGAGUGGGGCUGGUUGGGCCCAGAGCUCCCAUGGCCACCACCGCCCCCCACAUCCUUCCACAGCUGGGCUGUCACCACCACCAAGCCCUGCCCUUGCUCUGCCAUGUCCCUCCUGACACCAGCCAUCUCGGCCAAGACUUGGAAAUCUGAGUUCCUAUAAACAAAUACAUACCAAAAAAAAAAAAAAAA
rnacentral:lncRNA from 1 species